rnacentral:rRNA from 1 species
GUGGGGAAUAUUGGACAAUGGGCGCAAGCCUGAUCCAGCCAUGCCGCGUGAGUGAUGAAGGCCUUAGGGUUGUAAAGCUCUUUCAGUGGGGACGAUAAUGACGGUACCCACAGAAGAAGCCCCGGCUAACUUCGUGCCAGCAGCCGCGGUAAUACGAAGGGGGCUAGCGUUGUUCGGAUUUACUGGGCGUAAAGCGCACGUAGGCGGAUCGUUAAGUCGGGGGUGAAAUCCUGGAGCUCAACUCCAGAACUGCCUUCGAUACUGGCGAUCUUGAAUCCGGAAGAGGUGAGUGGAACUCCUAGGGUAGAGGUGGAAUUCGUAGAUAUUAGGAAGAACACCAGUGGCGAAGGCGGCUCACUGGUCCGGUACUGACGCUGAGGUGCGAAAGCGUGGGGAGCAAACAGGAUUAGAAACCCCGGUAGUCC